AAUAAAAGUAUUUUAUCAAUCUUUCCAUAUCCUUUCUCCAAUAUUAUAACCAAUAUUAUACGUAUUUAUAAUUUAUCAUUUUAGUGUUAGUGUAAUACCAAUCUGAACUGGAUAUCUUGAUGAACAAAUUGCUUUGCUUAUGCAGUACAAACCUUUUUCCGAGCAUGGGGUACAAUUUUUUUAUUCUUUUUUCGGAUGUGGAUGUGCUGUACUUGUAUAUGUUCUCUUAAAUUCUAGAUUCAAUUCCAGAUUGAUGAGUUUCUGGUAAAAAUUUAUGGGUUUUAUUUUUCAACUUGGUAGUAUUUCAUGUGUUCUAUAUAAUUUACAAUAAGGUUAGCAUAUAUGUGUUACUCGAUUUCAGAUUAUGAAAAAAUUCAGUUUUUUUAGUAUGAAUGUAGAGAAAAAAAGGUUCAUUACAUGAUCUACAUUUUCAACUGUUGAUGUAAGUUUACCAGGACAUCCAUCACAAUCUGUCGAAGCCACGGGUAUGAAUUUAUAGAUCUAUCUUUUUUCUUUACUUUUACGUGUCUAUAAAUCAGCUAAAUAAAUGAUUAUUUCUCUUUUCUUUCAGAACAUCAUCAACAACGACAUACCCAGUGUAUUUCCAUCUAAUAGGGUUUGGGAAGUGUAAAAUUUAUGCAGUCCAUACCACCUCCUCUGAAAAAGUAGAAAAGUUGUGUUCGAUAGAUAGAAAAGUUGUGUUCGAUAGAUCCUUGGCUCCAGACAAAAGGACAGUAAAUAAAGUCUUAAUAAAACAUGAGCAAGAUGAAAUAACAUGAAUAAGACACCCACAAAGUAGUACUUAUGCACUAACAAACAGCAAGCAUCCACCUCCUUCAGCCCUCCUAAUUAGAGACUCCACCUUAUGUACAAAGUCCUAUGACUACUAGCAAGGCUACCCAAAACACACCUAUCUAUUGGCUACAACUCACCCACACACACUAACCUUUUAACCUACUUUGCAUCCUUCGUACCUUUCUAUCUGGGAUCAUGUCCUCAGUAAGCUGUAACUGUUUCAUGUCAUGUCUAAUUACCUCCCUCCAAUAUUUUUCGGCCUACCACUAUCCCGCCUGAACUAUCCAACGCUUACCUCUCACACCUCCGAACUAGGGCAUCCGUGCCACUCCUCAUCACAUGUCCAAACCAUCUCAAUCUCAUUUCCCGCAUCUUGAGAACCACGACAUAGUUUAGCAAUGCAAUAACUGAGAAAUAGCAGAAGAAUAAUCCACCGUAGCCAGUUUUUUAACAAUAAUCCACCUUUAUGAUGUAAAAUUAAGUGUGGUUUUAGGUCAUUUUACUCGAUCAUUGCUCUGUCUAAGCCUCUCUUCUUAGUGUCUUGGUUUCUAUUGCUUCUAGGUAACGGUUUUUAUUUCACGAUUCCUCUAUGUUCUCCUUGGUAUCCAUUUCUUAGUGAUGGAGUUUUGACAGAUAUGUGUUGAUUCACAGUUUUUCUCUUGGCAGAUUGCUUCAACAACAACAUUUCCAAUAUAUUCCCACCGAGUGGUCUUGGCAGAUUGCUUAAGUAUAAAUAUUAUCUGCUUAGUAGAGUUAUUUUACAUUAUGAUGUAUAUCAAUAAGUUAACUGAUGUUACUAUUGUAGGGACUUGAAUCAAUAUUUAUCAAUAACUGGGUAAUUAAAAGUUCUAUUAGCCCAAACAAAAUUUUUCAAGAAAUAAAAAGUGAAUAGAAUUCAAACAUGUUGUGUUCAACUUGCAAAGUGGAGUUUGUGUAGUCUCGACUGUUGAUAUCUAUUGUUAGACACACUAGGAAACAUAUACAGUAGAUCAUUUCCCCUGUGGUCUUGUUUGUUGUAUUCCAUUUGAAGUUAUGUAUGUUCUUCUUUUAGACCCUUUUGAAAUAUAGAGUAUAGCUAGCACGUUUGGUUCUUAUAUAUCCUUCUUUGAGCAUGAUUUGUUGAAAUGAAGGCGUAAUCCAUGAUGGUCUAUUAAGUAAGGCAUCCUUUACCUGCUGGGGAAAAUAUUGCUUACAUACUCAAAGAUGGUUUAUUGGGCGAAAAAGAAUCUUUUAUAUCCACUUAUCCAUAAAGGAAAAAUAAAUAUAAAAAUUCGUGUUCUCUCUGAAGCGAUUUUUAAAUAUGCUACACCAAAUUGGAAUUGUUGUUGAUUGUGGGAGCAUUUAUUUCACUUAUGGGACCGUCUUUUUCAAUAAAACCAAGAUUAUGGUCUAGGUAUUUUACUAAUUAUGUACUCAGUCAAUCUAAUUUUUUCUGGUCCUACUGGUGGAUUUUUUGGUUCAGACAGGUUUUGAUGUAAACUGAGACAUGUUUCUUUCGGGUUGAUAGAUCAACUGGUCUCAUUUGGGGUCAGAAUAUUUAGCUAAAGAAAGUGUAGCUACAAGAGGAAGUCGGGUGGCUGUUGAAACCUUAAUGGGCGUUCCACCAUGGAUUCAUUGAGUUAAUGCAAUCUGAAUGUAGAAGAAAAUGUUUCUAUGGAGUCAUUGAGUUUGUGCAAUUCAUAUAUAGAAGAAAAUAGCAGGAAAGAUCAGAAGCUGCAAGGAAAGCAGACAAGCCAAGAGAACCUACUAUUCAAAAAAGAGAUUGACGCGAGCUUCCUCUAGGUUCUUCUGCUGAUUACUUUAUUUUCCAUUCUCAAAAACUAGUAGGAAUUACAAUUCCUGCAUGGUUGGGACAAGAUUUGAGCAUUUUUUCCCAGGUAAAGGUUGAAAAUAAAGAUGAGCAAAUCAGUCGAGUCAAUGAGGGGUCAAGAACGCUAGAAAAGAAGCAUAAAAAUUCACGUGGAUUCCUAAUUAGCUAUUUGAUAUGGGUUUUGCAUCUAUUUUAUAUUUUCACCAAGACUUGGGGGUUGCAAACCGCAAUUACCUCUGAACCCAUAUCAUCCUUGACAAAUGGGAUAUGGGUUAGGAAUGAGUGUGAACAAUAACUUGAAUUAAUUCAUUUAAUUGCAUCGUUUAGACAUAAGAAUGCUAAUUAAGGCCAUCGAUUGUUUAAACUGUUACACUUAUGAGGUGUUUGGAAAAAUCAAUUUGUGA